rnacentral:rRNA from 1 species
AGCGAACGCUGGCGGCAGGCUUAACACAUGCAAGUCGAGCGCCCGUAGCAAUACGGGAGCGGCAGACGGGUGAGUAACACGUGGGAACGUGCCUUUUGGUUCGGAACAACUGAGGGAAACUUCAGCUAAUACCGGAUAAGCCCUUACGGGGAAAGAUUUAUCGCCAAAAGAUCGGCCCGCGUCUGAUUAGCUAGUUGGUGGGGUAAUGGCCCACCAAGGCUACGAUCAGUAGCUGGCUGAGAGGAUGAUCAGCCACACUGGGACUGAGACACGGCCCAGACUCCUACGGGAGGCAGCAGUGGGGAAUCUUGGACAAUGGGCGCAAGCCUGAUCCAGCCAUGCCGCGUGAGUGAUGAAGGCCUUAGGGUUGUAAAGCUCUUUCAGCGGGGAAGAUAAUGACGGUACCCGCAGAAGAACGCCCCGGCUAACUUCGUGCCAGCAGCCGCCG